rnacentral:rRNA from 1 species
AAACUUAAGAGUUUGAUUCUGGCUCAGGACGAACGCUGGCGGUGUGCUUAAUACAUGCAAGUCGAGCGAGAUAAGGAAAAGCUUGCUUUUCCUUUGAAAGCGGCGGACGGGUGAGUAACUCGUGAGUAACCUGCCUAUAUCAGGGGAA